rnacentral:rRNA from 1 species
GGGNNGUUGCGCAUGGGGGAACCUUGNCGCACAACGCCGCGUGGAGUGAUGAAGGCCUUCGGGUCGUAUAAGCCCUGUCAGGUGGGAAGAAACAUAUCUGGUGCUAAUACCACUCUGAUGUUUGACGGUACCAGCCGGAGGAAGCACCGGNUAACUCCGUGCCAGCAGCCGCUGGUAAUACGGAGGGUGCAAGCGUUGUUCGGAAUUACUGGGCGUAAAGCGCGUGUAGGCGGUCGGGCAAGUCAGAUGUGAAAGCCUUCCGCUUAACGGAAGAAGUGCAUUUGAUACUACCCGGCUGGAGUACGGGAGAGGAGAGUGGAAUUCCCGGUGUAGAGGUGAAAUUCGUAGAUAUCGGGAGGAACACCAGUGGCGAAGGCGGCUCUCUGGUCCGAUACUGACGCUGAGACGCGAAAGCGUGGGGAGCAAACAGGAUUACAUACCCUGGUAGUCCACGCCGUAAACGAUGGGCACUAGGUGUAGGAGGUAUUGACCCCUUCUGUGCCGAAGUUAACUGCAUUAAGUGCCCCGCCUGGGGAGUACGGCCGCAAGGCUAAAACUCAAAAAAAUUGACGGA